rnacentral:rRNA from 1 species
UGAGUACGAGCUGCUACGGCAGCGAAGUGGGUGAUGUCAAGCUUCCAAGAAAAGCCCUAUACCCGUUAAGGCAUGAUGGCCUGUACCCGAAACCGACACAGGUGGGGUGGUAGAGAAUACCGAGGGGCGCGAGGUAACUCUCUCUAAGGAACUCGGCAAAAUGGCCCCGUAACUUCGGGAGAAGGGGUGCCACCGCAAGGUGGUCGCAGUGAAGAGGCCCAGGCGACUGUUUACCAAAAACACAGGUCUCCGCUAAGUCGCAAGACGAUGUAUGGGGGCUGACGCCUGCCCAGUGCCGGAAGGUUAAGGAAGCUGGUCAGCGCAAGCGAAGCUGGCGACUGAAGCCCCGGUGAACGGCGGCCGUAACUAUAACGGUCCUAAGGUAGCGAAAUUCCUUGUCGGGUAAGUUCCGACCCGCACGAAAAGGCGUAACGAUCUGGGCGCUGUCUCGGAGAGAGGCUCGGCGAAAUAGAAUUGUCUGUGAAGAUGCGGACUACGUGCACCCGGACAGAAAGACCCUAUGAAGCUUUACUGUAGCUUGGUAUUGUGCCCGGGCUCUGAAUGCGCAGGAUAGGUGGGAGGCUUUGAUCCAUUGCUUGUGGGUGAUGGUGAGCCACUGGUGAGAUACCACUCUUUCAGAGCUAGGGUUCUAACGGUCACCCGUUAUCCGGGGACCGGACAGUAUCAGGUGGGCAGUUUGACUGGGGCGGUCGCCACCUAAAAGGUAACGGAGGCGCGCAAAGUUUCCCUCAGGCUGGUUGGAAAUCAGCCGACGAGUGUAAAGGCAGAAGGGAGCUUGACUGUGAGACCUACAAGUCGAACAGGGACGAAAGUCGGCCUUAGUGAUCCGACGGUUCUGAGUGGAAGGGCCGUCGUUCAACGGAUAAAAGUUACUCUAAGGAUAACAGGCUGAUCUCCCCCAAGAGUUCACAUCGACGGGGAGGUUUGGCACCUCGAUGUCGGCUCAUCGCAACCUGGGGCUGAAGUCGGUCCCAAGGGUUGGGCUGUUCGCCCAUUAAAGCGGUACGCGAGCUGGGUUCAGAACGUCGUGAGACAGUUCGGUCCAUAUCCGGUGCACGCGCAGGAACAUUGAGAGGAUUUCUCCCUAGUACGAGAGGACCGGGAGGAACGCACCUCUGGUGUACCAGUUAUCGUGCCAACGGUAAACGCUGGGUAGCCAUGUGCGGAGUGGAUAACCGCUGAAAGCAUCUAAGUGGGAAGCCCACCUCAAGAUGAGUGUUCCCAUGGCAUAAGCCAGUAAGGUCACGGGAAGAACACCCGUUGAUAGGCUCUACGUGGAAGCGUGGCAACACGUGAAGCGGAGGAGUACUAAUAGACCGAGGGCUUGACCGG